AUCACGGUGCUGACUGUUUCUGACCACUGACUGAUUAUCUGCCUGAGGUCCAGAAACUGUAAGCCAAAAGAGGCCUUCUCUUAGAGUGCUUGAAGUGCUUCUUUCCCAUUGAGCCCGGAGAGGUAGAGCCAUCACAUUUAUAAAAUGGUGGUUGAAUGACCCAUCCAUGAAGAAGAGAGCUGAACAGUCUUUACUGCAGAAGAUCAACGGCUGUUAACAUUGACAAACAGAUGAAUUUAUAUUGAGCUGCUUGAAGUGGUAGAUUGCCAUUGUCCAAAGUUAAGUUACAGUUCCUAACAUGUAGAGGACAAUCAAUGAAUAUUUGUGAUUUGUGUGACCACCAUCUCAAUGAAGAUAAAGAAGAGUUUCAUCUCAAGGAUGCCUCUUGCUACCCUCCUACAACCCCAGCCACCUCUCCAAUCUCUGACAACCAUUAAUCUUUUCUCCAUCUUUAUAAUUUUGUCAUUUCAAGAACGUCACCCUACAUGAAAUAAUACAGUAUGUAAACUUUUGAGAUUGGCAUUUUCAUUCAACAUAAUUCCUUAAGAUUACUUUAGUUCUUACACAUAUCAGUAGUUCAUUUCUUUUAAUGCUGACUAGGACUCAUGGCAUAUAUGUACCACAGUUUGUUUAACUGUUCUCCAUUGAAGGAUAUUUGGGUUGUGGCCAAAAAAACAAAAACAACAACAGAUUUUUCUCUGCUAAAGAUGCUGUGAAGGGAAUAAAAAGACAAACUACAGACUCAGAAAAUAUUUGCAAACCACUUAUCCAAGAAAGGACUUGCAUCUGAAAUAUAUAAAGAAAUUUCAAAAGCCAACUGUAAAAAACAAACAGUUAGAAAAUGGGCCAAAGACAUGAAGAGAUGUUUCACUGAAGAAGGUAUUCACAUGGCAAAUGAAUAUAUGAAAAUAUAUUCAGCAUCAUUAGUCAUUAAGGAAAUACAAAUUAAAACCGUAAUGGGAUAGCACUACACAUCUAUCAGAAUGGUUAAAAUAAAAAAUGAUAAUAAUACCAAAUGCUGGUGAAGAUGUGGAGGAACUGGACCACCCAUUCAUCACUGAUAGGAUCACAAAAUGGUACAGCUAGUCUGGAAAAGGUUAUGCCAGCUAUUUACAAAGAAGAACAUGUGCUUACCAUAUGACCUAGCGAUAAAAGCUUGGGCUUUUAUUCCGGAGAAAUAAAAAUUUAAGUUCACACAAAAACCUGUAUGUGAAUGUUUAUAGCUUUAUUCAUGAUAGAGAAAAAUAAAGGAAUUUUUUAAAGGGUAUUAAUUCAAAGGACAAAAAAUACUGGUGGAUUUAUUAUGAAACUUUAGGGCCUACUUUUUGCUUGCAGGGUGACUUCUAAGGCUCUAGGAGGGACUCAAGCAAUGUGUUCAAGUGAUCAUUUAUUUUUGUAAGAUUUGCAAAGAUCUGCCCCAAGAGAAUAGAAGAAAAGAGAAGAGAAGCAGGAAUGGAAUUUGGAAGCUGGAAAGCAGAUGGAUGAGUAAGUAGCUGCUGACUUAGCCAACCAGCAAGUGCCCGUGCUUCCUACAGCCUAAGCUGUGACCUAAGCCGGUGGCAGUGGAAGCAGAAGCUGGUGCAGAACCCCAGGAGGGCUCAGGUAACCCAAGCACCGGACAGCACAUCAAGCUGAAACCAGGAAGACUGAGUAAAGUCUGCUGAAGAACUAAGUGUUCAUGGGGGUGCCUGGGU